GGGACAACCAGGGGCCUAGAUAUUGGAGUCAAAGCCACAGUGAGUGAUUCUAAGCAGCUAAGUUUUAAAAUGAAAUUUAAAUAACAGCAGUUCCAAACGAAAUUUACUCACUUGCUGAGGGGAUUACCACCCAUCUUUGGAGUCAGCAGAAAGCUCAUCUCAAAUUCAGACCCUGACUGAUUUCCGAAGGAUCUCAGCCCCUCAAAGAGAAAGGGGCAGGAGCAUGUUGUGGCUGUCGCAGAGGAGGGAGCACAUAGCAGAGCUGUUCACAUGGCAGUCAUCCAGGAAACAGAGGAGGGAAAUUAGCAUCAUGAGUUCCAGAUAUCAAACUCAGAUCGAUAACGAGGCGUCUGCAGCAA